UACGAAGGGUGCAAGCGUUACUCGGAAUUACUGGGCGUAAAGCGUGCGUAGGUGGUUUGUUAAGUCUGUUGUGAAAGCCCCGGGCUCAACCUGGGAAUGGCAAUGGAUACUGGCAAGCUAGAGUGCGGUAGAGGGUAGUGGAAUUCCCGGUGUAGCGGUGAAAUGCGUAGAGAUCGGGAGGAACACCAGUGGCGAAGGCGGCUACCUGGACCAGCACUGACACUGAGGCACGAAAGCGUGGGGAGCAAACGGGG
rnacentral:rRNA from 1 species